rnacentral:lncRNA from 1 species
GUCGCCGUUGCACCAGGGAUGCGGCCCCUCACCAGUAGCUGCCGGCGCUGCCGCAACGGCACAUAGGAUGGAAAACCGAGGCUUAGAGAUGAACUGAUUUGCCCAAGGUCAUACAGCAAGUGCGAUCAAGCUGAGCUUCAAACUUAAGUCCAAGGCUCGCUGCUUUCAGUCACAAUGCGCUUGCCCAUGACAAUGUCCACGGCUCAAGGUCAAACAAAAGAGUGGAGUGGUCCCCUUUACUCAACAGACAAUGGAAAAGAAAAGGCUCAGGUCAAGUGGACAGUGACUCCAGGGAGCUGCAAUCAGAAGGUUCAGUGCAUGGCAGGCUAGAGAGAGAUGCAAGGUGCAUUACAAGUGUUAAAGACUUCCCUGAGGAUGUCUGCAAAGGAGGGAACAUCUGAACUGAGCCCUGGAGUAACAGUCUUUCAGGAAGGAUACACAGGUUUAUAAAAUGCACACCAGACCUGGGAACUGUGGAACAUGCCUUCUGGGGACUGCUCAAAGGCCAGAGACCACUACAGUGGGUGGAACACUCUGGAGGGAGGGCAACUUGGGGUGGGAGCGAAGGAAGGAUGACCAUUCUCUGAAGGUAGCAGCAGGACCUUUUGCUUAACUACUUGAGGUUGCAGAAGGAUCUUGGUUGUCCUUGGGCUGAAAAGAUGGAGAAUUACUUCUGCCUUCCAGAGCUCUAGGGUUAUUUGACCACCCAAGAACUGGAACUAGCUGGCUGUGAAACCACAUCUCUUCAGAUGGUGGUUCCUGCAUAUGGCACUGAGCAGAUGCAGCUGGGGGUAGGCAGGUGAAGGAAUGGAGCUGCAGGUGACUAGUCAUCAAGCCCUGGGGCUCAUCUAGCAGCAGGGCUGUCCAGGAAUAGCUCCCUGGGUUUAUCCUCCAUGUUGAGUGAGGACUGGUUCAUUGCCAUGGCUUCAAUUACAUCUCUGCGCUGGCAACUGCUAGUCUCACACCUCCACUUGCACUUGAAUGCCUCCCAGGAACCUUGUCAAUGAGCCCCAACUGCACCAGAACUAUCAUACUGGCUCCAACCUGGGACACACCCAAGGGGGUCUCAUGCUGGAGGGUCUCUCUCGUGUUGCCAUUAGAGUCCCAAGCCUGUCACUUCUCUCACUCAAGUCUCUCAGCCCCAGUCUCAGUCACCUCCCCCUUGGUCUUGUCUUUUCCUACCUGGGGUAUCAAACUCAAAGUUUCCUUUCCCUUGCCUUCCAGUCUGGCCCCUGGGUCACCACACUGCAAUCGAGACACAGACUUGAGCGAGUCAGGCCUCUGGUAACAGCCUCUUAUUUGGAGGCUAAGGUCAAGGCUAAGGCCCUGGAGCAGGGCCUCCGAGGCUCUCCUGUCCCCACUUCCCUGCCCUACUCUGCGGCUGUCAGCACUGGCUCUGACACACUGCUGUGGGCUGUGCUGUACCCACUGCCCUUGUUCCCAGGACCCAGCUGAUGAGUCACCCUCCUGUAAAUUCACUCCUGGGCUUUACAAGACAGGGCACUUCCCUUGACCUGGUACUUGUCACACCCUAAUGUGUUUGUCCAGUUUCGUGUCAGUUUCCUUGCUGGACUCAGUUUCUCCCAGGGUAAGAACUGAACUGUUACUGUUUGGCUCCCAGUGUUUGUGGACAUACUUGCUGAAUGAAUAAAUGACCUACGACAGAAGCAGCAAAUCCUCAGCUUGGAAGAUACUAGCAAGCAGCCUGCGGCGGAGGCAGAGACACAGUUCCUGCUCCAAUUCCUUGUCCCUGGGGUUUCCCUGACCCUGAUGCCUCCCAGAUUCAUUCAGACCUUCCCAUAGUAGUGAGGAUAC